rnacentral:rRNA from 1 species
UGGGGAAUUUUGGACAAUGGGCGAAAGCCUGAUCCAGCAAUGCCGCGUGUGUGAAGAAGGCCUUCGGGUUGUAAAGCGCUUUUGUCCGGAAAGAAAUCCUUGGCUCUAAUACAGUCGGGGGAUGACGGUACCGGAAGAAUAAGCACCGGCUAACUACGUGCCAGCAGCCGCGGUAAUACGUAGGGUGCAAGCGUUAAUCGGAAUUACUGGGCGUAAAGCGUGCGCAGGCGGUUUGCUAAGACCGAUGUGAAAUCCCCGGGCUCAACCUGGGAACUGCAUUGGUGACUGGCAGGCUAGAGUAUGGCAGAGGGGGGUAGAAUUCCACGUGUAGCAGUGAAAUGCGUAGAGAUGUGGAGGAAUACCGAUGGCGAAGGCAGCCCCCUGGGCCAAAUACUGACGCUCAUGCACGAAAGCGUGGGGAGCAAACAGGAUUAGAUACCCUGGUAGUCCACGCCCUAAACGAUGUCAACUAGUUGUUGGGGAUUCAUUUCCUUAGUAACGUAGCUAACGCGUGAAGUUGACCGCCUGGGGAGUACGGUCGCAAGAUUAAAACUCAAAGGAAUUGACGGGGUCAUAGCUGUUUCCU